rnacentral:rRNA from 1 species
GACGAACGCUGGCGGCGUGCUUAACACAUGCCAGUCGAACGGGUCUGCCCUGUUUUUUGCGGGGUGGGUCAGUGGCGAACGGGUGAGUAACACGUGAGUAACCUGCCCCUCACUUCUGGAUAACCGCUUGAAAGGGUGGCUAAUACGGGGUGUUCUGGCUGUGCCGCAUGGUGUGGCUGGGAAAGAUUCACUUUUGUGGUGUUUUGGUGGGGGAUGGGCUCGCGGCCUAUCAGCUUGUUGGUGGGGUGAUGGCCUGCCAAGGCUUUGACGGGUGGCCGGGCUGAGAGGGUGGGCGGUCACACUGGGACUGAGAUACGGCCCAGACUCCUGCGGGAGGCAGCAGUGGGGGGUAUUGCACAAUGGGCGGAAGCCUGAUGCAGCGACGUCGCGUGAGGGAUGGAGGCCUUCGGGUUGUGAACCUCUUUCGCCGGUGAAGAAGGUCCUGCUCUUUGUGGUGGGGUUGACGGUAGCCGGGUUAUGAAGCGCCGGCUAACUACGUG